CCUACGGGAGGCAGCAGUGGGGAAUAUUGCACAAUGGGCGAAAGCCUGAUGCAGCGACGCCGCGUGAGGGAUGACGGCCUUCGGGUUGUAAACCUCUUUCAGUAGGGAAGAAGCGAAAGUGACGGUACCUGCAGAAGAAGCGCCGGCUAACUACGUGCCAGCAGCCGCGGUAAUACGUAGGGCGCAAGCGUUAUCCGGAAUUAUUGGGCGUAAAGAGCUCGUAGGCGGUUUGUCGCGUCUGCCGUGAAAGUCCGGGGCUCAACUCCGGAUCUGCGGUGGGUACGGGCAGACUAGAGUGAUGUAGGGGAGACUGGAAUUCCUGGUGUAGCGGUGAAAUGCGCAGAUAUCAGGAGGAACACCGAUGGCGAAGGCAGGUCUCUGGGCAUUAACUGACGCUGAGGAGCGAAAGCAUGGGGAGCGAACAGGAUUAGAUACCCUGGUAGUCCAUGCCGUAAACGUUGGGCACUGGGUGUGGGGGACAUUCCACGUUUUCCGCGCCGUAGCUAACGCAUAAGUGCCCGCCUGGGGAGUACGGCCGCAAGGCAAAACGUCAAAUGAAUUGACGG
rnacentral:rRNA from 1 species